ACUUGUCUCUGAAUUUUGAUGAAGCCCAUUUGAAAUAACCACAGUUUGCUUCUGGAUUAGAGGAAGGUCCCUGCAAGAGUUGUAGAUAUACUUAGCAUGUAGUUACAACGGUUAAAAAGACUUGGUUAAAAUCUUUUUACCUCAGCUCGAGAGCAGACGUAGAAUCUGCGUCCGAAUGUGGGACCUGGUUUCUUGACGACCCUAGCAACACAAGCUUCUUUAUGUCCUUUGCAGAGAGCUGAAGAACCUGUUUGAUCCUGUUCCUGUGUUGAAGUAGUCGGUUCACUGUCUUCUUUGCCUGAAACAUUCGGUUCUGUGAUGCUUUCUACUUGGGAGCUGGGACUGGAGGAAACAUAGGAAGAAGAACUAUCCUCGACAUUGUUUACUUUUGAGUUUGUAGUGAAAAAGGACUUGAGAGAAAGCUGAGAUGAUUGGAUUUUCCUUGCUUUUUUCCUGUCUCCAUCUCUAGAGAUAUUCAAAGCUCUAACUGAUGAUGCACGUAUUCCAUCACUAAGGUUAUCAAUGGAACCUGUUGCUGCCACCGUUUCUGCUUCUGUAACGCCGGAAGUGGAUUUGUUCUCAAAAGAACAAGAUUUCUCAAGUGAAAUUCCCAUCGAACCACAAUUUCUCAGUGGUCCUGUAGAAAUAUCCCCACAAAUUGAUGAAGUAUUACUUUGAGUUGAUGAUGAACAUGACACCUCAAUGGCUUUGGCUUCUUCAUUGGCCCGCCUCUUCUUAAAUACCGAUACUGUUACAGUAAAAAAACAAGUGAAGCAAAUUAUAAAAAAACGAUAGAGACAGGAAUAACUUGAGAAUAUGAACCAAUACAAGACAGCGGAAUAUAUAGGAAUUUUCUUGUACCAAGAGUUUGUUGGAAACCGUAAAUCAUGGGAAGAUAUCUUGACGCUAAUGGCGGCGUGCUGUGUUCCGGGAUGUCUGGUAAAUCAUCAAAACUAAUGAAUACAGGUACGUGGUCUGAUCCCUUAAAUUUUGUAACCAAUCCACCUUUCCACCUGUAGUGUGUUCAGAAGUUGAUUCACUGUAAAUUUGAGAUCCAAGUAAAAUGAAAAAAGGAAAUCUCAAG